UUCAAUUCAUCUGUUUUGUCUCAGGAAAACACUAUUGCCUAUUGGAGAAAAUUUGUGGCCGAGUAUUACUCUCCUCGAGCAAAGGAACGGUGGUGCUUGUCUUUGUAUAAUAAUGUUGGGCAUCAUGCACUUGGUGUUUUCCCUUAGGCAUCUAUGGAUGCAUGGCAGUGCGACAUAUGUGGUUCUAAAUCUGGAAGGGGAUUUGAGGCAACUUUUGAAGUGCUCCCUAGACUUAAUGACAUCAAAUUUGGUAGUGGAGUAAUUGAUGAACAUCUCUUUUUGGAGUUGCCACGUGAAC